rnacentral:rRNA from 1 species
GCGGCCGAUGUCUGAUUAGCUAGUUGGUGAGGUAAAGGCUUACCAAGGCUUCGAUCAGUAGCUGGUCUGAGAGGACGACCAGCCACACUGGGACUGAGACACGGCCCAGACUCCUACGGGAGGCAGCAGUGGGGAAUUUUGGACAAUGGGGGAAACCCUGAUCCAGCCAUGCCGCGUGAGUGAAGAAGGCCUUCGGGUUGUAAAGCUCUUUCAGCCGGAACGAAACGGUCACGGCUAAUACCCGUGAUCACUGACGGUACCGGAAGAAGAAGCACCGGCUAACUACGUGCCAGCAGCCGCGGUAAUACGUANGGUGCGAGCGUUAAUCGGAAUUACUGGGCGUAAAGCGUGCGCAGGCGGUUUUGUAAGUCAGAUGUGAAAUCCCCGGGCUCAACCUGGGAACU